UGUUGCAUAUUAACGUGUGUCUGUGAUUUCAUGCAGAGUCCAGCUAUGUGUAGCUAGUAUCAGAAGCUCUCUGUCUGCACUGUAUGCAACAGAUAAUAUAAACAAAGCAGUCACCUGUCAGCUGACCAGACCAGGACCCCAGUAGAACUGUGCAAGUACCUGCUCUCCCCUGACAGUUAUUGUUUUUGGACUGUUCUGCAGAAAUAGUGUUCAGACCAGGUUUUCUGCACGCUUACAGCGUCUGAAGGACCAUCAUGAAAAAUGCUUAUCCAAGUACACGGAGUGGGAGACUAACCAAACACAGUCCUCAAGACUGCCACACCAAAGAAGGGUGAAUACCACACCACAGGAGACAUCAUCUGAGUUAAUCCCACCCUCCAACAGCUUGCCCUUAGGAAGACCUCAUAAAGAGGAGGAGGCCUCAUCAGGACCAUCUCCUGAGGUCCUGGCACCUUGCAAUAGUUUGGAAGCAUGCAGUUUUGACCCAAACGUUCCACCACUGGAAAGAACUGACAGCAUAUUUGACCCCAAAUAUAUGGCUGGACAUGGCAAGAUGAAUCCUCUGCUACAGAGAGCUCAAAGAGGAGGAGUUGGACACCUGCAGAAGUGUGUGCAGAGGAAAAGACUCUAAAG